UCUCCCUUAGAGAUAAGGUGAGAAGCUCAGUCAUCCGGGAGGGGCUCAGAGUCGAGCCGCUUCUCCUCCACAUCGAGAGGAGCCAGAUGAGGUGGCUUGGGCAUCUGAUUCGGAUGCCUCCUGAACGCCUCCCUGAUGAGGUGUUCCGGGCAUGUCCCACCGGGAGGAGACCCCGAGGAAGACCCAGGACACGCUGGAGAGACUAUGUCACCCAGCUGGCCUGGGAACGCCUCGGGAUCCCCCGGGGAGAGCUGGAAGAAGUAGCUAGGGAGAGGGAAGUCUGGGCUUCCCUGCUAAAGCUGUUGCCCCCGCGACCCGGCCCCGGAUAAGCGGUAGAUGAUGGAUGGAUGGAUGGAUGGAUGGAUGGAUGGAGACUGGAGUUAGCGCGAGUCGCUAGCCGUCAAAAGUAGCGCUGAAGUUGCAACCAGGCGGACACAUACCAGGUCA